rnacentral:rRNA from 1 species
UACAGAGGCUGCAAGCGUUAUUCGGAUUCACUGGGCGUAAAGGGUGCGCAGGCGGUUGGGUGUGUCAGAUGUGAAAUCCCGAGGCUCAACCUCGGAACUGCGUCUGAAACUACUCGACUAGAGUACUGGAGAGGGUAACGGAAUUCACGGUGUAGCAGUGAAAUGCGUAGAUAUCGUGAGGAACACCAGAGGCGAAGGCGGUUACCUGGACAGUUACUGACGCUCAGGCACGAAAGCAUGGGGAGCAAACAGG